UACGUAGGGCGCAAGCGUUGUCCGGAAUUAUUGGGCGUAAAGAGCUCGUAGGCGGUCUGUCGCGUCGGCUGUGAAAUCCCGGAGCUCAACUCCGGGUCUGCAGUCGAUACGGGCAGACUGGAGUUCGGCAGGGGAGACUGGAAUUCCUGGUGUAGCGGUGAAAUGCGCAGAUAUCAGGAGGAACACCGGUGGCGAAGGCGGGUCUCUGGGCCGAUACUGACGCUGAGGAGCGAAGGCGUGGGGAGCGAACAGG
rnacentral:rRNA from 1 species